UCGUAAAGGUGCAUGAGUGGUGUUUGGUUUGUUACGUGUGGUUGGCUGCGGCGUUUGCAACAACUUCCAUGCUUUCAGACCUCUUCAGUUGUGCGGCAAGGCUUGUAUCGCCUUGAGCGUAUUGUGGGUUUGCUGUGUUGAAUACCUAAUCAAUGGUAUCGGUUGGAUUGAUCAAUGUUUCAUUUCGUCUGUCGUCGCAUUCGCGGCGUGAGAUGAACCUUGAUGCGGUCUCUUUGAUCCACCUCGUUGAAGCGCAUGCUUUGACGUUGUGGCGCAUUGAGCAUUGCUUGGUCUCUUGCAUACGGAACAUGUAGCGGGCAUGAAUCUAACGGUUCUCGUUUGCCCUCAUAUUAGCGUAACGCUUCUCUUACACGACUUGCUCCACGUUUUAGCUCGUACGGACGUGGU
rnacentral:misc_RNA from 1 species